AUGGCUGAAUCAGGACACCCCGAGGAAGAUUCUGCAGUAGACGAGUUCAAUGAUAUUAUCAAGAGUAGAUCUGACUUCGCAGCUAGGCUAUCUCUUACUGUGAAGAGUGAAAGAGGUCCUAAAUCAUGGGAGAGGAGUGAUGUCUUUUUAAAGUCUCAGAAAGCAGAACUUUUGCUACCAGAAGCUGUGUCACUGCAGGUCGGAAAAGCUGGACAAAGAGAGUGCCAUUGAUUUCUUUUCCAGCAUAGUUCUCUGAUCAAGAUUGUAUUACCUUCUGAGGCAGCCUCUGAGAAUAUUUGAUUUUUAAGGACUAACACAUAUUGCUGUGGCUACCAAGUGGAAAGGAUUACAAAGAGAUUCUGUGAAAAGUUGUAGUACUAAGCAGGGAUUUUGGCCAUUUGACAGAAAGUUAGUUUACUACAUCCUGGAAAUGUUUUGAUUGAAAGCACUUCAUGGGGGAGGCGGGUUUGAGUGUGAGAGAGCAGCAGAUGGUUUGAAGGACCAUUUUCAGGGAUUUGUUUUGGAGAAAAUGUACUGUUCAAUGAGUGACUCAUGUUCUCUGCUUUAACAUUGCCUGUGGUUAGUUCCACCCUCUUUAUUCCCACUUAAUAGGAAUGUGACACCAGACAGAAGCUGAUGUGCAGGAAUAGCAGCUGUGGGACAGCUUUAUCCUGUGCAUGUUUAUUUGGAAGCAAAUUUCAUUGACUUCGCUGCAGAAUGCUCUCCCAAAGUGUGUAUAAGAUUGCAACCUAACAGUUGGUUCACUUUUGUCUUUUGGAUACUGAGGUAGUUCCUACGUCACAGUGAACUCAGGGGUGGGGAACCUGUGACUCUCCAGAUGUUAGAUUCCACUGAUAGGAGAUUAGUCCACAGCAGAGUGUCACACAGAUUCCCACCCCUGUGAUAAUCCAUGGUUUAUCUGGAAGAACCAUGAUAAAUCACAGUUUAUCAAGCCCUAGAGAGCCUUGGGUGUGCACACUCAGCCUCCCAGUUCCUAUUCACGACCCCAAGGAUGAAAUCGUAAUUCUGGUUCCAUUAACAAUAAUUAAGCAUUAUGUCUGAACCCUAAACUGUGGUCAAUCUAAACAGGUUUUUUUUUUCAAAAAGCAGUAAUAACCCAGCUUCACGACCCAUCUUAUUGUUUAUCCCUGGCUCUAGUAACACUACUGCCAAUACAGAUCCUUGGGUACUUCACUGCUUUUCUCCCCAGGGUGUGAGAAUCUGCCCUAGAUUUUCCCAUUCUCAAACCAAUUACUAAUCCAAGGAUCUGUCCUCUUAUCCCUUGGCAGCUACUCAGGAACCCUUUUUGGAAACCUAAAUACGUCUACAAAGUCCCUCUUAUUUCAUGCUUUUUGGCUCUCAGAAAAGAAUUUUAAGAGUUCUCCACUGUAUGCCAUUCAGACUUCAUGAUUGUCAAUUAGUCCUAAAAACACCAUCUUUUGUCACCUUUAAUUGAUUCCGUUCUUCUUAUGUGUUCCCUUAAAAAAUGCAAUUCAGGUGUAAGGAUCUCUCCAAAGUUCUCGUUCAGCUUAGUUUUCUUUAAUUUUCCUAUCCUUUUACAGCUUUGUCUGUGCAUUUUCAGUACUAAGCAAGUUGCUUGACAUGAGUGGGACUUACUUCUGAGUAUGUAUGCAUGGCCUUGUACUGUUGAUUUUUUUUAUAAACAUGUUGUUUGAAUGAUUUUUCCACUGAGUAUGUAUUUAGUAAAGUGAGGGUUGAUGAUACCCAUUUUUCCAGCAUUUCCUCAUUUUCUAGCUGCCCCUAUCCUGCAGUUCCUGGGCUGCUGUUGGCUAUCCUGAAUUGUACUCUGGAUUGUUGAGUCUUGGGGUCACUACAGGUGACAGUAAACAGGUGGUUUAAUAUUACAAUGAGUAGUGUAAUACACAGAAACCCUUUGUGAUACAUAUUUACAAGGAAUUUCAUAGGAAACAAUGUAAAUAUAAGCCCUUUUGAGACAGCCUUUGCUGGCUGGAGCUAAUGGGAGUUGUAUUUUAUUUUUUUAUUUUUUAAAAUUUGUAUACCUCCUUUCAUGGCCUCUUUGUGAUAGUUGGUGUACCAGUACUAAUAAACAGGUUGUGUGUGUUGUGAUCUUGGUG
ensembl:lncRNA